CCACACGCCCAAAACUUGACAAACGCCUGCUUUGUUGCUGUUAUUGGUUUCGUGAAAAUUGCCUUUACCUGCCUCUGGUGGCAAUAGAACCUUGAAUCUUUUUCACGGCGCAGAAAUCGCAGUGAUUAAUUUAGCAAUCAUGACCUUUUUCUGUAUCUUAUCAGAAUAUGAAAAAUACUUCCAUCGUGUUAAUCGGAGGCUAUAACAACAACAAAGAACAGUUUUUAAGGGUAGAAGGUUUCUGGUAAGUGUUUUGAAUUGGUCAUUGUUUAUGUUUAAGUUUUUUUCAACACCCUAAGGUUAAUGCUUAAAACCAACAUUUCAAAAAUGAAUACGACCAAAACAACCUAAAAUGUUGUUAUGUAUUUCACACUCAGCUCGUUUUUAAUUGUUGUUUUUUCUCUGUUUCCCUUUGUCUGUAUCCAGCGUUAACGUCCUGACCGACACGACAAGGUAUCGCCAGUGUGCCCCAAGCAACGCUAACAUCAGCAGAAUCGCCAGUUUGGGACCUGUCGGAAUUCUCCCCACCCAGGGGUACUCCUUCUCCGAAAAUGGCGUGGACAUAACAGUCGCCACAGCCACCAACGGAUGUUUCCCUGUCCUGACCCGGGUCAAGAGCGUUGCUGCAGGACUGGAUGACGUCUCCCUCUUUUUCGACGUGACAGCCGGACUCCCCUCACCAGAUGUCUUCAACGUCGACGUCUCCAACUGUGUUGCGCCACCAUCGGUCGGAUAAGCUAGUAUCUACACUAGACUCAGUCCUUUUCGAAAUGACAACAGUAGCAGAUUUGCCUUGUAUAGUUAAUGUUCUUUCCUCCUAAACGAGCGAUGCCUUUUUGAGCUUUUGUUCGUUAUAAGUGUCAGUCAGCUCUAUGAAUAUACUUUACAGUUGUGUGUCUUUAUGAUUUCUGAAUAAAAUAAAAUGUAGAAAAACACUAUACUUUAGCCACGUUAAACGACACAAGAUCAUUGUGAAAGAAAUGCUUGAAGGAAGAUUGUGGGGAAGGAGAGACUGGAGAAGACAAAGAGUACCAUGGAUGGACAACAUACAAACAUGGACUGGCCUUGAUAUAGCAGAAUGUGCAACGGUAACUCGCGACCGUGAAAGAUGGAGGGUCAUUUCACGGCAACCAGAGAGUGAGAUAUGAUAUCUCCUCGUAUUCCAGGCAUCCCUUUCUCGUAUCUGAGAAACCACAAUUCGAAUUCUUCCAUGUUUUUUUCUUUGUUGUACUUAAUUUGAUAUAUUCCUCUCAUAAUGCAAGUACAAAAGAUGAAAUAAAAAUAGCGAACCUCAA